rnacentral:rRNA from 1 species
AGAUGGCGACCGGCGCACGGGUGAGUAACACGUAUCCAACCUGCCGAUAACUCGGGGAUAGCCUUUCGAAAGAAAGAUUAAUACCCGAUGGCAUAAUUAGACCGCAUGGUCUUAUUAUUAAAGAAUUUCGGUUAUCGAUGGGGAUGCGUUCCAUUAAGCAGUUGGUGAGGUAACGGCUCACCAAACCUUCGAUGGAUAGGGGUUCUGAGAGGAAGGUCCCCCACAUUGGAACUGAGACACGGUCCAA